UAAUACGUAGGGUGCAAGCGUUAAUCGGAAUUACUGGGCGUAAAGCGUGCGCAGGCGGUCCGCUAAGACAGAUGUGAAAUCCCCGGGCUUAACCUGGGAACUGCAUUUGUGACUGGCGGGCUAGAGUAUGGCAGAGGGGGGUAGAAUUCCACGUGUAGCAGUGAAAUGCGUAGAGAUGUGGAGGAAUACCGAUGGCGAAGGCAGCCCCCUGGGCCAAUACUGACGCUCAUGCACGAAAGCGUGGGGAGCAAACAGG
rnacentral:rRNA from 1 species